rnacentral:rRNA from 1 species
UACGUAGGGUCCAAGCGUUAUCCGGAAUCACUGGGCGUAAAGCGUGCGUAGGUGGGCUGUUAGGUGAGAUGUGAAAGCGUGUGGCUCAACCAUAUCGUUGUGUUUCAUACUGGCAGACUAGAGGACAGCAGAGGCAAGUGGAAUUACGAGUGUAGCGGUAAUGUGCGUGGAUAUUCGUAGGAACACCAAUGGCGAAGGCAGCUUGCUGGGCUACUCCUGACACUGAGGUACGAAAGCGUGGGGAGCGAACAGG